UUGUUUCUAUUACCCAGAAGAAGCAAAUGGUCCAUCAGUGACACCACCAACCAGACCGGUGACCACCAGGCUGAGGAGCUGCUCUUCCUCCUACACGUCCUCGAGUUCUGCAGUAGCAAACAACUCCCGGAUCUUAGUGGUUUGGAGCAACAGGGCUUAUUCUUGCUCAUGUUAAAUUUUUGGCUGCAGAAUUCACAUUUUCUUCAUUCUGAAACACAGACAGACACAGAGACGCACCAUUCAGAUGCCCCUUCAAGAAGAACUUGUUUUCCAGCUAGAGGGAAUGCGUUAGGCAAACAGCCUCCAGCUGUCAGCUGUUUCAGACUCUGCCACAUCUGCAGAGAGCUGUCUGCCCAAGGGAAAGCCAUGCGAGGACAUAGCAAGAAGGCAACUGUCUGCAAGCCAGAAAGAGAGGCUUCACCAAAAACUAACCCUGCUGGCACCUUGAUCUUGCACUUCCAGCCUCCAGAACUGAACAAGAAGACUACACAGUCACCCUGGUGAAACUGAGCUAUGACAGACGAGCUGAAGACCGACUAUACGUUCAAGUUCAUCAGAGGAAAAAGCAUCACUUGAAUUUCACUGGCAGGGACCGUCCCUGCUUGUGCUAACCUCCUACAUAUCCUGGUCCAGGCUUCCCACCUUCAGAAGAUGUUUGCCCCAGGGGCAUGGCAGUUUCUUAUUCCUAUCUCAUGAACUUUUAACCUUAAGAACAACUUGGUAGCUAUUUUAUAUUGACUCAUUAUUUGCUCUCUGGGCGCCAAAUGAUAC
rnacentral:lncRNA from 1 species